rnacentral:pre_miRNA from 1 species
GAUAUACUCCCUCCGUCCCAAAAUAAGUGACUCAACUUUGUACUAACUUUAAUACAAAGUUGAGUCACUUAUUUUGGGACGGAGGGAGUAUAAA